UGAUGUGCUGGGCAUGUUUCCCUGGCUGGGAACCUUGCACCGAGCCGUGAGGAUGAGGGGAGCCACCACACACCAUUCCUCAGCCCUUCACAAAGGACUGAGACAGUGGGAGGAAUAUCACAGUGUCAGCCUGAGCCUUGCACAUUCACCCUGUGGGUUUCCAAAGAAGUUUCUCCAUGCAGCUCCCCAGAUGACUGCACUCCAGUGAAGGAUGAAGCCAUUGCCAUGGCCAGACAAGCUGCAGCAUCCAAACUUCCCUAGGAAAACUAGAUGAGGUAUUUGAGUAACAGCAGCAGACUUCCCUAUCAGCAAAGUCAAGCAGGGAAAUUAGUAGAAAAUAGCGUAAUUUUUAUAUGGAUCAAAUCAUUCACAGGUUACAGAGACAGAAGGAGACACUGCUGGUCCGACCUCCUGUUCUAAUCAGAGCACAUUGUGAGGAGUAACCUCCAGUCCUGAUUUCUAAGAAGCCAAUAAUACACCAUUCAUUUGUAUUUCAUACAGAGUAAUGCCAUAUUUCAUCAGGAUGCACAAACCUGUAUUCUGAAGGAACAAUACACAUUUGGGAUUGGAUUUACAGCUGUUUGGUAGCUCUCGCACUUGCAGGCAAA